rnacentral:rRNA from 1 species
UACGAAGGGGGCUAGCGUUGCUCGGAAUCACUGGGCGUAAAGGGUGCGUAGGCGGGUCUUUAAGUCAGGGGUGAAAUCCUGGAGCUCAACUCCAGAACUGCCUUUGAUACUGAAGAUCUUGAGUUCGGGAGAGGUGAGUGGAACUGCGAGUGUAGAGGUGAAAUUCGUAGAUAUUCGCAAGAACACCGGUGGCGAAGGCGGCUCACUGGCCCGAUACUGACGCUGAGGCACGAAAGCGUGGGGAGCAAACAGG